rnacentral:rRNA from 1 species
UACGUAGGGCGCAAGCGUUGUCCGGAAUUAUUGGGCGUAAAGGGCUCGUAGGCGGCCAACUAAGUCCGACGUGAAAUCCCAAGGCUUAACCUUGGAACUGCGUCGGAUACUGGAUGGCUUGAAUUCGGGAGAGGGAUGCAGAAUUCCAGGUGUAGCGGUGAAAUGCGUAGAUAUCGUGAGGAAGACCAGUGGCGAAGGCGGGUCUCUGGACAGUUCCUGACACUGAGGCACGAAGGCCAGGGGAGCAAACGGG